UUGCUGUCAUAUUCUAAAGUAUCAAUUAACCAAAAACUUCCGGUCCUCACAGAAAUGUCAACAAUCAGGAAGGUCUAUUGCGACUUUUUAAAAGUACAGAACUAGGCCAGGGAUACACAUUUUGCCAUUUCAAUGGGUGGGGGGAGACUUCCUGUGAGUUUCUCAUGCUGUCAUUCCCUUAUGAACUGGAUAUAGGGGUUCUGGAGGACAUUAAGAGGUCAUCCACACAAUCAGCUGCAGCAGGGUAGGAGUGGGGAAACCUGGUGUCCCAAGGCUCAUAUGGAACCGCUCCCUCCCUACUGCUGAAGAGCAGGUCUACUCUAUUAAACUCUGCAGUUUCUCUCCUUCUCUCCCUCUCCCUGUCUCUCCCUCCCUCCCUCCCUCUCCCUCUUCUCUAUACUAUGAAGACAGAAAGCUCAAGCAUACAGACUUUCUAUCCAAGAAUGUAACUUCCACAAUAAAGUUUAUUUUCUUUGGAUCUUAAA